ACUCUACCAUAUUCACUAAAUUGAGAGACAUUAAACAAGGAAAGUAAGGGAGGUGAGAGAGCCUCUUCCUCUCGUCAGGCAGUUUAAUGUCACCGCACCAACAUGGAAGGCUAGCUAGCUUGCAAAUCACUUUGGUUAUGGUUGACAUACAGUGAUGUGGUCUUGCACAUCUCUUUGUUGGUAUAUGAUUAACUUUCAUUCAUUCACUUGCAUAUUUUUACCAUUCGAAUGCAUGCUGUGUAGUAGAUGGUAUGCCUGGCUCCCUGUAUGCCAUUUGCAAAGCCCACCAGAACAUCGGUGGUCCUCGUGGAUAGCGUGCGAGGAGCCAUGCAUGCUCGCUAAUUUUCUUUAAUUGGCAUGUACUGUAGAUCCUUCUCUUCCUAUUUCAUGAAAAGAACGAAGUUUGUUUC
rnacentral:precursor_RNA from 1 species